ACUGACAUUAGAUACCCGCGUAGUCCCAGCCGUAAACGAUGCGCGUUAGGUGUAUCGACGACCACGAGUCGUCGAGGUGCCGAAGGGAAGCCGUGAAGCGAGCCACCUGGGAAGUACGGCCGCAAGGCUGAAACUUAAAGGAAUUGGCGGGGGAGCACAACAACGGGUGGAGCCUGCGGUUUAAUUGGACUCAACGCCGGACAACUCACCGGGGACGACAGCAAUAUGUAGGCCAGGCUGAAGACCUUGCCUGAAUCGCUG
rnacentral:rRNA from 1 species